UACAUCAGGUGCACUGACCAGUGUCGGGAGCAAUGUGAUUUUAGAAAAAUUCCUAAAGGGAUAAACUAAAGAUUUUAUCUGGAGCUGCACAGUGGCACAGUGGGUGCACAAUCGCCUUACAGCUAGAAGGUUGCUGGUUGCUGGCGUUGGUUUCCCCAGGGUGCACCAGUUUCCCCCACAAGUCCAAAGACAUGCAGUAAAGGGUGUGGAGAAAGCUGGGUGGAGACUGUCAGAAGACAUACACACACACACACCUGCUGAACACAGAGAUGUUGAACCAGUGGCUAAAGAAGCAGGGAUUAGUUCUCCACCUCGGCUGAGAGAUUUCCUCUAUGCAUACAGAUUGUGUGUGUGUGUGUGUGUGUCUUGACUGACUUCGUCACAGUGCCUAUUGAGUCAGCUCUCUGAGUCAUCCGUUUCAAGGUUGCCUAGUGACAACGGCUGGGAAAUGUUUCCUAUUGCGCAUUCGCUGAUGCUUGGCACCAAUAUUUAUUCAGGCACUGCAGUGAGAGGGCAAGAGAAAAUAAUUGAUGCAUUUCACCUGAUUGCAUGGAUGUUCAGCCAUCCGUCAAAAAUGUUUACCUGACGAUUCAGAACUUUCCCUGUUUUUCAUGAUAGCCAACUUUUUGUUAUAAUAUAGGACGAGACUUUAAAUCAAUAUUUCCAAAGCAGCUCAGUGUGGACACCAAACCAGAAGUGUAUUUUUUGGACAUGUUAAACUGAAUAUUGGUCUUUUUAUGUGGUUACACAUUGUUACCAAAUCAAUAAAACAGCAGUUUUAUCAAA
rnacentral:lncRNA from 1 species